rnacentral:rRNA from 1 species
AUACUUAGGGUGCAAGCGUUAAUCGGAAUUACUGGGCGUAAAGCGCACGUAGGCGGUAUAUCAAGUUAGGCGUGAAAGCCCUGGGCUCAACCCGGGAACUGCGCUUAUUACUGAUGAACUAGAGUCUGGGAGAGGGUAGCGGAAUUCCCAGUGUAGAGGUGAAAUUCGUAGAUAUUGGGAAGAACACCAGUUGCGAAGGCGGCUACCUGGACCGGCACUGACGCUGAGGUGCGAAAGCGUGGGGAGCAAACAGGAUUAGAAACCCCAGUAGUCC